UGUAUAAUGGGUCAGCGACUUAUAUUCAGUAGCGAGGUUAACCGUAUAGGGGAGCCGUAGAGAAAUCGAGUCUUAAUAGGGCGUUUAGUUGCUGGGUAUAGACCCGAAACCAGGCGAUCUAUCCAUGAGCAGGUUGAAGGUUGGGUAACACUAACUGGAGGACCGAACCCACUGUCGUUGAAAAGCCAGGGGAUGACUUGUGGAUAGGGGUGAAAGGCUAAUCAAGCCUGGUGAUAGCUGGUUCUCCCCGAAAGCUAUUUAGGUAGCGCCUCGGACGAAUACCAUAGGGGGUAGAGCACUGUUUCGGCUAGGGGGUCAUCCCGACUUACCAAACCGAUGCAAACUCCGAAUACCUAUGAGUACUAUCCGGGAGACAGACUGCGGGUGCUAACGUCCGUAGUCAAGAGGAAAACAAUCCAGACCGCCAGCUAAGGCCCCAAAAUCAUAGUUAAGUGGGAAACGAUGUGGGAAGGCAUAGACAGCUAGGAGGUUGGCUUAGAAGCAGCCACCCUUUAAAGAAAGCGUAAUAGCUCACUAGUCGAGUCGGCCUGCGCGGAAGAUGUAACGGGGCUAAAACUAUGUGCCGAAGCUGCGGAUGUAUACUUUGUAUACGUGGUAGGGGAGCGUUCUGUAAGCCGAUGAAGGUGUGUUGAGAAGCAUGCUGGAGGUAUCAGAAGUGCGAAUGCUGACGUGAGUAACGACAAAACGGGUGAAAAACCCGUUCGCCGAAAGACCAAGGGUUCCAGUCCAACGUUAAUCGGGGCUGGGUGAGUCGACCCCUAAGGCGAGGCCGAAAGGCGUAGUCGAUGGGAAAAUGGUUAAUAUUCCAUUACUUCUGUGUAAUGCGAUGAGAGGACGGAGAAGGCUAAAUCAGCCUGGCGUUGGUUGUCCAGGUGAAAGGAUGUAGGCAUGUAUCUUAGGCAAAUCCGGGGUACUCUAUGCUGAGAUCUGAUAGCAAGCUGUACUUGUACAGCGAAGUGGUUGAUGCCAUGCUUCCAGGAAAAGUCUCUAAGCUUCAGUUACACAGGAAUCGUACCCGAAACCGACACAGGUGGUCAGGUCGAGUAGACCAAGGCGCUUGAGAGAACUCUGCUGAAGGAACUAGGCAAAAUGGUACCGUAACUUCGGGAGAAGGUACGCUGUUGUUGGUGAUGGAACUCGCUUCCUGAGCUGACGACAGCCGCAGAAACCAGGCCGCUGCAACUGUUUAUUAAAAACAUAGCACUCUGCAAACACGAAAGUGGACGUAUAGGGUGUGAUGCCUGCCCGGUGCUGGAAGGUUAAUUGAUGGGGUUAGCGUAAGCGAAGCUCUUGAUCGAAGCCCCAGUAAACGGCGGCCGUAACUAUAACGGUCCUAAGGUAGCGAAAUUCCUUGUCGGGUAAGUUCCGACCUGCACGAAUGGCAUAAUGAUGGCGGCGCUGUCUCCAGCAGAGGCUCAGUGAAAUCGAAAUCGCUGUGAAGAUGCAGUGUACCCGCGGCUAGACGGAAAGACCCCGUGAACCUUUACUGCAGCUUGACACUGAACUUUGACCUUACUUGUGUAGGAUAGGUGGGAGGCUUUGAAGCUGGAACGCUAGUUCCAGUGGAGCCGUCCUUGAAAUACCACCCUGGUAAUGUUGAGGUUCUAACUCUGUCCCGUGAUCCGGGACGAGGACCGUGUCUGGUGGGUAGUUUGACUGGGGCGGUCUCCUCCUAAAGAGUAACGGAGGAGUACGAAGGUGCGCUCAGCGUGGUCGGAAAUCACGCGUAGAGUAUAAAGGCAAAAGCGCGCUUAACUGCGAGACCCACAAGUCGAGCAGGUACGAAAGUAGGUCUUAGUGAUCCGGUGGUUCUGUAUGGAAGGGCCAUCGCUCAACGGAUAAAAGGUACUCUGGGGAUAACAGGCUGAUACCGCCCAAGAGUUCAUAUCGACGGCGGUGUUUGGCACCUCGAUGUCGGCUCAUCUCAUCCUGGGGCUGAAGCAGGUCCCAAGGGUAUGGCUGUUCGCCAUUUAAAGAGGUACGCGAGCUGGGUUUAGAACGUCGUGAGACAGUUCGGUCCCUAUCUACCGUGGGCGCUGGAAAUUUGAGAGGAUCUGCUCCUAGUACGAGAGGACCAGAGUGGACGAACCUCUGGUGUACCGGUUGUGACGCCAGUCGCAUCGCCGGGUAGCUAUGUUCGGAAGGGAUAACCGCUGAAAGCAUCUAAGCGGGAAGCCUACCUCAAGAUAAGAUUUCCCUAGGACUUUAUGUCCUCUAAAGAGCCGUUCGAGACUAGGACGUUGAUAGGUUGGAUGUGGAAGCAUAGUGAUAUGUGAAGCUGACCAAUACUAAUUGCUCGUGAGGCUUGACUA
rnacentral:rRNA from 1 species